rnacentral:lncRNA from 1 species
UUUGUUAAAAAAAAAUUAGUUAACUAUAAGUUAAAUACUUAACCCUAAUUAGUUUAGGAGAUAAUUUGACAUUUCUACCUCUUUUAUAUUAUAUUAUUGUGGCCUUUAGAAGGAUAUAUUUGUGAUGACGAAAUUGAUAUUUCGCUUAUUUUCUGUUAAAAUAUAAAUAGUUCUCUAACAGUAAUAAAUCAGAAAGAUAUAUUUGAGAAUAUUAAAAAUAAAGUUGAACUUUGUAGAAAUAUAUUUGCAAUUCACUAUAUUUAUUAGGACCUGCAUGCAUUUAACCCUAAGGGUGCGUUUGGUUCGCAUUAUGAAAGAUUACUAGGAAUAAAAGAUAUCCGAGAAUCUUAUUCCUAUUCAUCCUAUUACUAAGAAUGUGAAAUUCCUGUGUUUGGUUCGUACAGUAAUAUUAAUUAGUCAUGUUAUUUAAUAUUGCAAAAAAUAUAUAAUUAAUUAAUUAAUUUAUUUAUUUAAUUUUAGAUAAUGUUGCCAAAAGUUUCAAUAUUUUUUUAGAAAAAAGGGAGAGAGAGUAUAAGUUAGAGAGAGAGAGCACAACUAAAAAAAUAGAAAGAAAAAUAUAGUCGAAAUAAGAGGGAGUGAGAGAGUUGAAAUUUAGAAAGAGAGAGAGAGAAAGCUUAGUUUAGAGAGAGAUAUAAGGUUAGAGUGUAAAGAAAAAUAAUAUCAAUUAGCCGGCGGAUAGGAAGAAAGAAAGAAAUUAGACAUAUUAGGAUUAUCCCAAUCCAUUAAUAUGAUGAUACCCACCCUCCCUCAAGGGAAUGAGAUUAGUACUUUGGGGUGAAUCUUAUUCCCAAGUGAAUCCAAUAUUACCAACUAGAUUACUUAGUGCGUUUAGCCAAACACCGUCAUAUUUUUUUAUUCCCAUUGGAUUACUAGGAAUCUUUAAAAGAUAGCGCGAACCAAACGCACCCUAAAAGCAAUGUCUUGUCGACUGUCUUUGGGAG